CCAAUAGUAUUGGUCGUUUGGCCAAGAUGAUCUUGUCUGGUUCUCAUUGCUAGGACUGCUGAAGAAAUAGGGAGCCAUCAAUGUGAUUUUGUCUUUGGGAACCCCACAUGUGAAUGAAUCACCGAAUGAAUGAAUGAAAUUUUAAUCCUUAUAACAAAGAUAAGGCUGGAUCCUAAUAUAUUGCUUUAGGAUGAUUUUCAGGAAGCUCUACAAUUCCAAGCAUUUCCUCUCACAACAAUUUAAUAAAAA
rnacentral:lncRNA from 10 species